rnacentral:rRNA from 1 species
UACGGGGGGGGCAAGCGUUGUUCGGAAUUACUGGGCGUAAAGGGCUCGUAGGCGGCCAACUAAGUCAGACGUGAAAUCCCUCGGCUUAACCGGGGAACUGCGUCUGAUACUGGUUGGCUUGAAUCCGGGAGAGGGAUGUGGAAUUCCAGGUGUAGCGGUGAAAUGCGUAGAUAUCUGGAGGAACACCGGUGGCGAAGGCGGCAUCCUGGACCGGUAUUGAUGCUGAGGAGCGAAAGCGUGGGGAGCAAACAGG